GUUCUCCCGCAACGCUACUCUGUUUACCAGGUCAGGUCCGGAAGGAAGCAGCCAAGGCAGAUGACGCGUGUGCCGGGAUGUAGCUGGCAGGG
rnacentral:SRP_RNA from 2 species